UACGGAGGGUGCAAACGUUGCUCGGAAUUAUUGGGCGUAAAGCGCACGUAGGCGGACUACCAAGUCGGAUGUGAAAGCCCUCGGCUUAACCGAGGAAGUGCACUCGAAACUGGCAGUCUUGAGUACGGGAGAGGGUCGCGGAAUUCCCGGUGUAGAGGUGAAAUGCGUAGAUAUCAAGAGGAACACCUGAGGUGAAGACGGGUUGCUGGGCUGACACUGACGCUGAGGCGCGAAAGCCAGGGGAGCAAACGGG
rnacentral:rRNA from 1 species